GCCUCAUCACUGCCUACCAGAAGUAUGACUGGCUGGUCUCCCACUGCUGUUUCUUAGCAUGAGUAAGAAAUCCCACUACAUGCUGUUUUCAGCCUGUCUAAAUGUUUAUUUUCUGCUUUAGCUGCAAAUCUUACACUUCUUUCUCCAGUUUUUUUUCCAUUGUGUUAAAAUACUGAGUAAGUGCUCUGGUCUACACUAGGUCACACAUUCUUUUUAAAGAUUGUUGUUGGAGACCUUGUACUUGCUAGUCUUAUGUAACAUGAUGAAGUUUUUCAGAGAAAUAAAUUGAGCGAAAAUAUCAUUUAGUAUAGCUUAACGCAGGUCCAAAGACUGAGGAAAAUCACACCAUGAAAAAAUAAAAGUAAAAAUUAAAAAGGCACACCUUUUUCUUUUUCCUUUUUCUGUUCUACAGCAUUAUACAGAACGUGGCUUUGUCCAGGCACUCCCCUACUCAAUUAUUUCAGUGGACCUACAUUGCCUACUGAGAAAAGGAGAAAUACUGUGUCCUGUGUGCUGAUGACAAGUUAGCGACUUUGUACAAUUGAUUUAGUCCUCAGAAACCUGCUACUCUACUUUCCCAAUAGUGCAUGUAGCCAUAAAUGGACAAGUUUGGCUUUCUAUACCCUUUGCAGCAUUAAGCUCAUAUCCCUCUAUGCCUUCAUGGACUCCACCUCCUAGCCACAGUCAUCCACUUUGGUUUCUAUGUUUUUCUCAUCAUUGAGAGUUUGCUCAUGUGGUUCCUCCCUGCACCCCCUCCCAAAAAUGCCCUUCUCCUUGUAUUUCACCUUCAGAUCCUAAGAUUCUAGCACUCCCUUAUUCAUGCAGCUUCCUGUUAUCUCUCUGUUGUGCUCCAAGCUGCUACUCCAAGCACAUUCUGAUCGCUCCCUCCUCUGAAUGGCUAAUGGCCAAAAUAAGAUUAUUUAUAAUUUAAUGCAUAAGGCAGAUACACACAUACACAAUUCUACACAAGGAAAAUACAAUCAGCAAAACACAAAAUUUGUAAGCAAAAUAUUAUUAGGGUUCAGAGACUGAGAAAUACUUCUGGCCAAAGAGAAUUCCUUCUGCCAGAUGAAGUCUGUGGAGUAGGAGAAUAUGAGUUCUACUGUGAAUCAUGGUUAGAAUUAUUCAGAAAUAAGUAUUGCUGAUGUUUGCCUAGUUUAAAAAAGUCAACUGUAAAACAGUGUAGAAAAGAAUGAAAAUUGUUCAUUUUCUCACAAAAGAGAAAUAACCACAUUAAAUAAUAAGUCCUUCCUCUCAUCUAUAUUGGUUUUUAUAGAUGGGCCAUACUGUGUAUAUGUUGUGUAACUUGAUUUUACCACUUAAUGUUACAUCCUAAGCAUUUACCCAACUCUUUAAAGAAUAUAGACAGCAAUACUUACCAAUUAUGUAUACUGUCUUAGGUGGAUAAAUUUUACUUAAUUUUUUAUUGUUACACAUUUUGAUAUUUCCAAGUUUCUUUAUUAUAAGUAAUGCCCCAACACUUGUCAGAUUAGUUUCUUAGGAUAGGUUGCUAUCAGUGACAUUACUGCAUAAAAGGUGUGAAUAAUUUGAAAACUUGUAAACUGGUAAACAUAGUAAACUGGUAAACUGGUAACUUUUACAUGGAAACAUGGAAAACUUGUAAACUGGUAAACAUUUGAAAACUGGUAGAUGUGACCAAACAGCUUUCUCUACAGAUUGUGAAAAUGUACAAUGCCAUUUGAGUAUGAGAGUGCCUAUCUUAAGUACUCUUACAUUUGUUCAAUAUUUUUACUUCCAUUAUGAAUGUAUAAUGAUUGGAAUGAGAAAAAUCAUUUUUUAAGAACUAUGUAUUUCAUUAAUUUAAAACAUUAAACACUUAUAAAAUAAUGUGUUAGAUAGACACAGUUUGUCUUUUAGAUGCUGUGUUUAACCUAAUUUGACCAUG
ensembl:lncRNA